rnacentral:rRNA from 1 species
GGACGGGUGAGUAACGCGUAGGAAUCUACCGAGUAGUGGGGGACAACAGUUGGAAACGACUGCUAAUACCGCAUAAUCCCUGAGGGGGAAAGGAGGGGAUCUGUUUACAGACCUUUCGCUAUUUGAUGAGCCUGCGUGAGAUUAGCUAGUUGGUGAGGUAAUGGCUCACCAAGGCGACGAUCUCUAGCUGGUCUGAGAGGAUGAUCAGCCACACUGGAACUGAGACACGGUCCAGACUCCUACGGGAGGCAGCAGUGGGGAAUCUUGCACAAUGGGGGAAACCCUGAUGCAGCCAUGCCGCGUGUGUGAAGAAGGCCUUCGGGUUGUAAAGCACUUUCAGCGAGGAGGAAAGGAGUAUGUUUAAUAAACGUGCUCUGUGACGUUACUCGCAGAAGA